GACGAACGCUGGCGGCGUGCUUAACACAUGCAAGUCGAACGGAAAGGCCCUGCUUUUGUGGGGUGCUCGAGUGGCGAACGGGUGAGUAACACGUGAGUAACCUGCCCUUGACUUUGGGAUAACUUCAGGAAACUGGGGCUAAUACCGGAUAGGAGCUCCUGCUGCAUGGUGGGGGUUGGAAAGUUUCGGCGGUUGGGGAUGGACUCGCGGCUUAUCAGCUUGUUGGUGGGGUAGUGGCUUACCAAGGCUUUGACGGGUAGCCGGCCUGAGAGGGUGACCGGCCACAUUGGGACUGAGAUGCGGCCCAGACUCCUACGGGAGGCAGCGGUGGGGAAUAUUGCACAAUGGGCGGAAGCCUGAUGCAGCAACGCCGCGUGCGGGAUGACGGCCUUCGGGUUGUAAACCGCUUUCGCCUGUGACGAAGCGUGAGUGACGGUAAUGGGUAAAGAAGAACCGGCUAACUACGUG
rnacentral:rRNA from 1 species